AUGGACUGUCUCGUGGCUGCUUGCUCGGGUGGCCAGCAAGCUGCUGCUGCGUUCAGCUGCCCGAGGAUGCCCUGCUGGGACACGGACGUGGUCAAGGUGCGUGGUCAGGCUGUGCAGGGGGAGAUAAGCCACCACCACGUGAGUGCCACCGACCUUUUCUGUGCUGAAUUAAAAUGUAGGACUCCGGUUUUCGCUUGGAUUGCAGCCUUUUUGAUUUUUCAAGGAGAAGAGCACUCGGAUCAGCUGCGUUCGUUAGCUCAAUUAAAGCAAGCUGCACUUUUUUUUUCGUGGACUAAUGCUGCUCCUUCCUCUGAGCAGGCGUGCCCUGGUGGUGUGUAUUUGCACUCAGCGCUUCAACGUGACACCAAGGGACUAAUCUGGGCCUGCUUCAUCCCAGCUAUCAGAAAGCUGAGCAAACCGUGUGUGUUACUUUUACACCUAACCAUUAUAACCCCAGGAGCCUUUUCCAGUUUCAAAUAAUAAUAAUAAAAAAAAAGGUUUUGUGAACUCA
rnacentral:lncRNA from 1 species